UUCAAGGCCAAGGUCAUAGAUGUGGAAACUGAGGCCCUGGUUGUAGGCCUUAGGGAACCCUCAGACCAGGAUCUGGUGGGACGGGAGGGCAGGAGCCUCCUAGGGCGCUCAGAAGGGGGUGGGGCAGGAAGGCAUCUCCCGCGUCCCAGCCCCCAGGCCCGCGCUCUGAAGCUGCCAGUCUCUGGCCUUCUGGUCUCUAGGCCUCUGCCACAUCCGGAGGUGUGGCUUCCCUGUGGUUGGACACGAGAGGGCAGGAGACCUGAGGCUUGUGAUCUGGGUCCUCAGCCCUCGCUCUCGCUGGCGGAGCAGCACCUGGAGUCGCCGGUGCCCAGCGCCCCGGGGGCCCUGGCGGGCGGUCCCACCCAGGCGGCCCCGGGAGUCCGCGGGGAGGAGGAACAGUGGGCCCGGGAGAUCGGGGCCCAGCUGCGGCGGAUGGCGGACGACCUCAACGCGCAGUACGAGCGGCGGGUGAGUGCUGGGGGUGGGGUGGACGGCAGGUGGGACUUCCCGCCGGAGGAGGGGGCGGCAGGCGGCCCCCGCCAGAUGUGCGGCAGCUGCUGCCCUGCGCGGCUGGGUCGCUCCGCGGACAGGCAGGUGGGGGGUGAGUGGGUGGGGGGGAUCGCGCGCCCGCAGAGGCGCCCAGGGACUCCGCGCCGCGGCUGGCAUAGUCGGAGCCCGAGCCAGGGCCAGGGCCAGGGCCGGGAACUAGGCCGCCGCGGAGACUAGCUGCGCGCCCGUGGCCCGCGGCCGCGGGGACUGAGGGCGUCGCUGGGCGGCGCGGCUCA
rnacentral:lncRNA from 1 species